CUAAGAGUAUGGGCCGCUGGUACCUCUCCCCCCACCCCUAGCUUAAGUACGGUUAGUCCAGGAGUAACCCGACAGGCCGAGGGGCUCUGCAGGGCCAAGCAUCUGUGCCAAACCUGCCGCUUGGGUCUCAAGGUUCGGUGUAUCUCUUUAUAGGUCUCUUAACCUUUAUAUCUGUGUUAGACCUUGUUGAGUGUGCCGCCCCUUGGGCCGUAUACUUGCGGUUUUGAGGAUUUCAGCGCUGUGGAUUCAGGGAUUUUGGUCUCGUCGAUCAGGGACAGGCAGUGUCUGUCUAGUUCAUUGCUGGGCCAUGUGGGUUCCCGGGAGGGUGGGCAGGUAGUGCGUGGUCUUUUACAUGUUGGUGCCCGUAGGGCGCGUUGUCUGCUGUCUCGUUUUUCUGGGUCUCGGGGGUUGUUGCGUCUGGCGCUGUAUCUCUGGUGAAAAGGCGUAGAAGGCCAUUGGAUCCGGCCAAGUCAUUUGUAUCGGUGGGAGUUGUAGUUCUCUCGUUAGAUCCAUCAGGUCUCCCUCGUUCUUCACCGUGAAGGGGCCAUUACUUGUGGUGACUUGUAUUCGGGUGGGGAAAUUCCACCUGUAUCUGAUCUUGUUAGUCUGUAGUACUCGCGUGAGUGGGCGCAUGGCUCGUCGGUACGCCAAUGUUGCAGGGGAUAGGUCUGGGUACAGUUGGAUUUCAGUGCCAUUGUGGAUGAUUUGUCUUUUAUCCCUGGCACUUUUCAGAAUGUCUUCCUUCACCUGGAAGUGUGUUAGGCAGCAUAUUACGUCUCUAGGCGGGGAGUCAGGUGGGCCCCUGGGUCUGAGGGCUCUGUGCGCCCUAAUAAAUUCGAUGGGCGCUGUGUUCGGCCUUUGUAGG